rnacentral:rRNA from 1 species
UACGGAGGGUGCGAGCGUUAAUCGGAAUUACUGGGCGUAAAGCGCGCGUAGGCGGCCUGAUAAGUUGGAUGUGAAAGCCCCGGGCUCAACCUGGGAACUGCAUUCAAAACUGUCAGGCUAGAGUGUGGUAGAGGAUAGUGGAAUUUCAGGUGUAGCGGUGAAAUGCGUAGAGAUCUGAAGGAACAUCAGUGGCGAAGGCGGCUAUCUGGACCAACACUGACGCUGAGGUGCGAAAGCGUGGGGAGCAAACAGG